rnacentral:rRNA from 1 species
UACGGGAGGCAGCAGUAGGGAGUCUUCCGCAAUGGACGAAAGUCUGACGGAGCAACGCCGCGUGAGUGAUGAAGGUUUUCGGAUCGUAAAGCUCUGUUGUUAGGGAAGAACAAGUACCGUUCGAAUAGGGCGGCACCUUGACGGUACCUAACCAGAAAGCCACGGCUAACUACGUGCCAGCAGCCGCGGUAAUA